rnacentral:tRNA from 1 species
GGCCUUGUGGCGCAACGGCUAGCGCGUUCGCCUCCAGAGCGAAAGGUUAUCUGUUCAAAUCAGGUCAGGGUCA